UACGUAGGGUGCGAGCGUUAAUCGGAAUUACUGGGCGUAAAGCGUGCGCAGGCGGUUCGUUGUGUCGGCGGUGAAAGCCCCGGGCUUAACCUGGGAAUGGCCGUUGAAACUGGCGAACUGGAGUGUGGCAGAGGGGGGUGGAAUUCCGCGUGUAGCAGUGAAAUGCGUAGAGAUGCGGAGGAACACCGAUGGCGAAGGCAGCCCCCUGGGCUAACACUGACGCUCAGGCACGAAAGCCAGGGGAGCGAACGGG
rnacentral:rRNA from 1 species